UACGAAGGGGGCUAGCGUUGUUCGGAAUUACUGGGCGUAAAGCGUGCGCAGGCGGCUUCUCAAGUCAGGGGUGAAAGCCCAGAGCUUAACUCUGGAAUUGCCUUUGAGACUGAGAGGCUUGAGUACGGGAGAGGUGAGUGGAAUUCCGGGUGUAGCGGUGGAAUGCGUAGAGAUCCGGAAGAACACCGGUGGCGAAGGCGGUCUGCUGGGGUAAUGCUGACACUGAUGCGCGACAGCGUGGGGAGCAAACAGG
rnacentral:rRNA from 1 species